rnacentral:misc_RNA from 1 species
AAGGAUUUUGCUUAUGAUGGAGAGAAGAGUUUAUUCACUGUUGGUCCUCUCCCGCGGAAUAAACUUGAAUUUACUGUUGUUCUUGAGGAUAUCACGUCAAACAGGAACAAUGGUAACUGUAGUCCUGAUGGUCAUGGAAGUCCCAAUAAUGGAGACCGAAAAAGGAUGAAACGACCGUACCGUUCAAAAUCAUUUAAGGUAGAAAUUAGCUUUGCAGCUAAGAUACCAAUGCAGGCUAUAGCAAGUGCUUUACGUGGUCA